CUCAGAAUGAACGCUGGCGGCAUGCCUAACACAUGCAAGUCGAACGAAUGCCCUUCGGGGUGUUAGUGGCGCACGGGUGCGUAACGCGUGGGAAUCUGCCCUUGGGUUCGGAAUAACAGUUGGAAACGACUGCUAAUACCGGAUGAUGACGUAAGUCCAAAGAUUUAUCGCCCAGGGAUGAGCCCGCGUAGGAUUAGGUAGUUGGUGUGGUAAAGGCGCACCAAGCCGACGAUCCUUAGCUGGUCUGAGAGGAUGAUCAGCCACACUGGGACUGAGACACGGCCCAGACUCCUACGGGAGGCAGCAGUGGGGAAUAUUGGACAAUGGGCGAAAGCCUGAUCCAGCAAUGCCGCGUGAGUGAUGAAGGCCUUAGGGUUGUAAAGCUCUUUUACCCGGGAUGAUAAUGACAG
rnacentral:rRNA from 1 species